AACCUCUUACAAAAUUGCUUGCUUGUGUUUGUAGCUGUUUCUGUAGUGUUUUUCACUCUGUACAGCCCUAAUGUUGCUCUGUAUUUCUUAGAUUUAGGGCGAGAGCUACAUGCUGUGCUGUGAAUGGAGUAGUGAAGGGGCCUUUAUCCGCAGGCCAUUGGGAGUCAUGAAGUACUUUUUCUAUAUGCUGAGCACAGCCCAGAUUCUAGCAAGACGAGGGGAAGGAUCUGUCUGAUGGUUCUUAGAGAUUCUGCUGUCACAUGCUUUUCAGCUUUCACACAGGCUUGAUCCCAAAGUACCAUUGACUUCAGUUAAGGUAGAACUAAAACAUUUGUUAGUUAUUUAUUUAUUUUUUUCCAUGAAAACUAAUUGGAUACAUUCUGUACUCCCCACUUGCCAUGGAGCAGUAUAGCAGCAAGAUAAGGUGUUUAAAAAAAAAACCCACAAUAUAAAACAAACAAAACCACUAGAGAGAUGUUUAUUGGUAACAGCAUAUAAAUACUUCAUGAGUUUUAUAAAAACUCAUUGAGUAUUUAUAAAAACUCAUUUUAUAAAAACUCAUGAAGACUGUAGUCCUGUCCAAGCUGAGUUUCAAUUUUCAUGGAGAAAUGAGCUGUUAGAACGUGCCCUUUAUUUAGCAACAUUCACUUAGCCUUGCACCAGGACAAAACUUGCUAACUCUGGAGAACGAAUGCUGUAUGUUGGUGAGGCAGGGCUACUAAGCUGCUGUGCUCAAACUGUGGUCACUUUUUUUCUGACAUAAUGUCCUUCUUAUAAACUUCUGUCACACGUUCAUACAUUGUGGAGGACUUUGAUGCUGAGCACAGAUAAGUGGGUCUUAAGAAGUCCUCCAGAGGAUACAGAGCUUUUGGACAAGAGAGGUUUUAAAAGGCAUUCAUACUUUCUGCACUGCAGUGUUUGACUUUACUGCCAUCCUUGCAAUAUUUCUUCUAUUUAAGAACAGUCAGGAAUACUACUAAUUCAGCAGUAAAGUUAAUUAGCACAGACUGUAAAUGUUUAUUUGUUUUUUAAUAGCAGAAAAUGCAUUAUAAAUGACUCCCAUGUUUGUCUAUUGUAAAACCCUGCUGUUAGAGUAAUUUGUAACCUAGCUUUUUCUUAUGCUAACUCUUGGCAUUGCAAAAGCAAAAUAUGGAUUUGGUGUUAACUGUGGAAUAACCAGCCACAAAAAGUAUAAUCCUGCUACAUUUUCUAAAUUGGCCUUGCAAUGUGAAAAAGAUUAGAAGUAUUGCGUUCAUAUUGAUGGUUUUGAAUUAAUGUAUGUUCAUUAUUUUCAGAAACCUGACUUUGUAUGCUCCUAUUACUGAAUUAGUAUAUUUUUCUUAAAUAUAGAGUUACUGCACCUAAGCUCUAAGUACAUUAUGAUAAUUGGUUAAAAUUCUUAGCUUCUGAAAUAAGUGUAAAAAAAAAUAACGUACUUUGCUUUAUCUCUUAUUGAAUGCAACUUUUCAGAUGGUUAUGAAAAUUGAUAGCAAAAAUUAAUUAAAUUUUGAGAAAGUUACAGGCUUUUUAUAAUGUUUUUGGUGGCAAGGUCUGUGUUUAUAACAUUGUAAAUGUAUGCAGUAGGGUUCUAAAGUGAGCAUUUGUCAAUAUUUUAGUGAACUAAAGUAAUUAAAUGGGUUUUAAUUCAUCCCUUCACUUUAUGCAGUUCUGUGUGUGGGCACUUACUUCAUAUUAUAUGUAUUCUAAUGAGUAAGAUUUCUUUUUAGUUAAAUUAUAUUUUAUGGGUCACUCUACCUAGAAGUGAAAUGCAAGUUUGUACUGAAAUACCAUCUUUGAAUGAAGAGCUGCUCCCAUAGUCCUGCAUCAUGCAGGACACACGUCCUGUACUGUAACAAGUCCCAUCUACCUAAAUGAGGAAAGCUAAACUAAUUCAGGACUGAGACAGAGCUGUAAUAAAGAUGGGAAUUAGCGAAGUGCA
rnacentral:lncRNA from 1 species